rnacentral:tRNA from 1 species
GGAGGCGAAGAUGCGAAAAAAUACAAGCAGUGAUGAGAAAAUACGAAAUCAAUGCGCCGAUAUCGGGUAGUCCGCAGGUUCGAGUCCUGUCGCCUCGACCA